GACGAACGCUGGCGGCGUGCUUAACACAUGCAAGUUGAACGGAAAGGCCCUGCUUUUGUGGGGUGCUCGAGUGGCGAACGGGUGAGUAACACGUGAGUAACCUGCCCUUGACUUUGGGAUGACUUCAGGAAACUGGGGCUAAUACCGGAUAGGAGCUCCUGCUGCAUGGUGGGGGUUGGAAAGUUUCGGCGGUUGGGGAUGGACUCGCGGCUUAUCAGCUUGUUGGUGGGGUAGUGGCUUACCAAGGCUUUGACGGGUAGCCGGCCUGAGAGGGUGACCGGCCACAUUGGGACUGAGAUACGGCCCAGACUCCUACGGGAGGCAGCAGUGGGGAAUAUUGCACAAUGGGCGGAAGCCUGAUGCAGCAACGCCGCGUGCGGGAUGACGGCCUUCGGGUUGUAAACCGCUUUCGCCUGUGACGAAGCGUGAGUGACGGUAAUGGGUAAAGAAGCACCGGCUAACUACGUG
rnacentral:rRNA from 1 species